rnacentral:rRNA from 1 species
GUGGGGAAUAUUGGACAAUGGGCGCAAGCCUGAUCCAGCCAUGCCGCGUGUGUGAAGAAGGCCUUUUGGUUGUAAAGCACUUUAAGCGAGGAGGAGGCUCCUUUAGUUAAUACCUAAAGAGAGUGGACGUUACUCGCAGAAUAAGCACCGGCUAACUCUGUGCCAGCAGCCGCGGUAAUACAGAGGGUGCAAGCGUUAAUCGGAUUUACUGGGCGUAAAGCGCGCGUAGGUGGCCAAUUAAGUCAAAUGUGAAAUCCCCGAGCUUAACUUGGGAAUUGCAUUCGAUACUGGUUGGCUAGAGUAUGGGAGAGGAUGGUAGAAUUCCAGGUGUAGCGGUGAAAUGCGUAGAGAUCUGGAGGAAUACCGAUGGCGAAGGCAGCCAUCUGGCCUAAUACUGACACUGAGGUGCGAAAGCAUGGGGAGCAAACAGGAUUAGAUACCCGAGUAGUCC